rnacentral:lncRNA from 1 species
ACUAAUUAGGGUUUCUGCUUUUCAUUUUUUAAUUAUAAAUCGCAAUGUUUAAUGAUUUUUUUCUUAAUUAAUCUAUGCGGUGUUGUUUUCAGCCUGAUGGCCAGAUGCCCGGUGACAAGACCGUUGGCGGAGGAGACGACGCUUUCAACACCUUUUUCAGCGAAACCGGCGCUGGGAAACACGUUCCACGCGCCGUUUUCGUAGAUCUUGAACCUACCGUCAUCGACGAAGUUAGGACCGGUGCUUACCGUCAACUCUUC